GUGGGGAAUAUUGGACAAUGGGCGCAAGCCUGAUCCAGCCAUGCCGCGUGAGUGAUGAAGGCCCUAGGGUUGUAAAGCUCUUUCACCGAUGAAGAUAAUGACGGUAGUCGGAGAAGAAGCCCCGGCUAACUUCGUGCCAGCAGCCGCGGUAAUACGAAGGGGGCUAGCGUUGUUCGGAAUUACUGGGCGUAAAGCGCACGUAGGCGGAUAUUUAAGUCAGGGGUGAAAUCCCAGAGCUCAACUCUGGAACUGCCUUUGAUACUGGGUAUCUCGAGUAUGGAAGAGGUGAGUGGAAUUCCGAGUGUAGAGGUGAAAUUCGUAGAUAUUCGGAGGAAAACCAGUGGCGAAGGCGGCUCACUGGCUCGAUACUGACGCUGAGGUGCGAAAGCGUGGGGAGCAAACAGGAUUAGAAACCCCAGUAGUCC
rnacentral:rRNA from 1 species